GUCCACGCCGUAACGAUGGAUACUAGCUGUUCGGAGCAAUCUGAGUGGCUAAGCGAAAGUGAUAAGUAUCCCACCUGGGGAGUACGUUCGCAAGAAUGAAACUCAAAGGAAUUGACGGGGCCCGCACAAGCGGUGGAGCAUGUGGUUUAAUUCGAUGAUACGCGAGGAACCUUACCAAGGCUUAAAUGUAGAUUGACCGGUUUGGAAACAGAUCUUUCGCAAGACAAUUUACAAGGUGCUGCAUGGUUGUCGU
rnacentral:rRNA from 1 species